UUUUUUUUAUUUUUUUUAAAUUUUUUAUUUAUUUUUAUUUUUUACAGGUAGUUUUUAUUUUAUUUUCCCACUGUACAGCAAGGGGAUCAAGUUAUCCUUACAUGCAUACAUUACAAUUACAUUUUUUCCCCCACCCUUUGUUCUGUUGCAACAUGAGUAUCUAGACAAAGGUGGAGAAAAAAAACAUUCAUGUAAGUGUAUCUUGUCCCCCAUGCUGUACAGCAGAAAAAUAAAUAAAUAAAAAUUUUUGUGAAAUAUAAGAAUUAGGACUUGAUUGACAUGACUAAUAUAAAAAGGAGGGAGGGACUGUAGGUUAAAACCAUUGGGAUACCUUAACCUUGGUCUGGAGGUCAGCGUUUAAAUCCCUGCUCCAUCCUCUUUCUAGCCAGGUGACCGGAGGCAAAUUCACUGCACUUCUUUGAGCCUAAGGUUUCUCAUCUGUCAAAAGGGGCUAAUGACAGCACUUCAUCCAGGAGUGGCCUCCGAGGACUGAAUGAAACAAUGCAAAUGAGGCAUGUACCAUGGGACUUGGCAAAGGAAAGCUCUUGGCAAAGAGCAGCAACCUCAUCACUUAGAGCUUGACAAAUUCCAUGAAGACUAGACUCAGAAUGCAAAUCCCCCCAAUAUCUCAGAUAUGAUCACUGAUUCAGCUCAGCCCCCCAUGGGUUCAUUCAAAAAUAUUUACAACACAUCUAGUCUGAGCCAGGCACUUUUCUGUAUCCUGGGGGUGAAGACAUAAGCCAAAUACACAUGAAAAUUCAGAUCACUGAACGACAAUAGAUCAUUUGUUUCAAUGUUAGAGAAAUCACAUUCUUGGACAGAAAGGUCACAGGAGAGGGUCUAUUUCAUUUUGAAGACUGCAGGACACACUGCAGUGAGGGUCCAGGGCCAGGGAGAGAGGGAGGAGGCCAGGAAAGGAAGGCAGUGCCUACAGUGAGGUCUCCGGCAGUCAGCCCUGCCGUCUGCCAGGAGCUGGUUCUGAUGCCACUGGGCUCUGGCUUCCGGCCAAAGCCGCACUUACUUGAUGCUGUGCAGCUUCCUCAUGACGAUCCCUGAAACAUCGACUUUCCAAGAUGUACUUGAUAGAAGAUCCUCAUCCUGAGAAAACACACAUAGAAAUCUUACACAGUUAUUUAUUACUCACACCUUCAGCCGUCAUCUUCAUGAACCAAGUACUAGGCCCCGAAGAGCAAUGGCGGGACUUAAGGAUUUUCAAUCAGGGGAACAAUAUGGUUAGAAAUGUACUUUUUAAGAGUUCACAUUUCGGCUCAGUGGUAAUGAAUCCGACUAGAAUCCGUGAGGAUGCGGGUUUGAUCCCUGGCCUCACUCAGUGGGUUAAGCAUCUGUUGUUGCUGUGAGUUGCCGUGGAGAUCGCAGAUGCAGCUUGGAUCCUGCAUUGCUGUGGCUGUGGUCCAGGCUGGCAGCUAUAACUCAGAUUCAAGCCCUAGCCUCGGAACUUCCUAUACCACAGGUUCGGCUCUAAAAACAAAAAGAAGAAAAAGAAAUGUACUUUCCAAAGUACUUUGGUAUCAGUAUAAAGAAGGGAUGGAGGGGGAAACGAGGUUAUUGGAGUUGUCCAGCUGAGAAAUGAUGAGGAAAACAAAAAAAAAGAAAUGAUGACGAGCCUCAAUCAGGUGAGUGGCAAUUGGGAGGGAUGAAGGGAGGGGCUAAAAGCUGGUUUGGAAGCAGGACAUCACAGGAUUUCCCAGAAGGCAGCUUGAGACCUAUUAGAGAGAGUCAAGACAUCAAUGUGGGGGAUUGCGACCAGCAGUUGGGGAUAACAGAUAAAUGGCACAUAUCCGAAAGCAUCCCAUGGAAUGAGGUAAGUAAUAUUUUGUGAUGUAUGGAUUUCUUUCCAGAAUGGUAGAGAACAGAGGGGCAGGAAAGAGCAGGCUCGCUGGGUCUGGGGAGACAGGGUUCAAAUCCAAGGUCCACCGCUUGUUUGCUGGGAGGCCUUGGGAAAGUCACGAACUCCCUGGGCCAGAGUUUCCUCAUUGGAAAAGGAGAGAAACUGAUAACACCUCAUGGGGUUGUGAGGAUUAAUGAGGAAAUACAGGAGGGACACGCAGAUGAGGGCAUCAUGUGUGUGCCUCUACCAUUUCCAGACACAGGUACACAGACGCAGGUCCUGGCUAGGGACGCACAGUAAUUUUCCCCUGUGACCUCAGUUUACAAAAGUGUGACACUAACACACACCCAGUAACACAUACACAGACACACACAUGGCAAUGCUUCCCCUUCUGCUUUUCCUAGCUUGGUCGUUGGCCACACCCACAUCUAGUCCCCUGCUGGUCAUGACCGAACUCUCCCAUCUCCUCCCUGUCCAAUCAGUCACUCAGCCCUGAGCAUAUGCAAAUGUCAGAUCCCUGUGUAAUACACCUGAAACUAACACAAUACAUCCCAUCAUAGGCUACUGCUUCUCUGUGGAAGCUAAAAACACAAAAGAUACAAAUGGCCUUAAACAUAACACAGGAGCAGACCCACAGACAGAGCAGAAACACCUAUGUUUACCAAGGGGGAAAGGGGAUGGCGAGGGACAAAUUAGGAGUUUGGGAUUAACAGAUACCCUCCACUACCUAUAAAACAGAUAACCAACAGGGACCUCCUGUAUAGCACAAGGACGUAUACUGAAUAUUUUGUAAAAAGCUAAAGGCAAAAACCAAAAAGUGUAUAUAUAUAUAUAUACAUACAUACAUAUAUACAUAUAUGGGGAGAGAGAGAGACACACACACACAGAUAAAUAACUGAAUCUCUGUCCUAUAAACCCAAAACUAACACAACACUGUAAAUCAAUUAUAGUUCAGUAAAAAGUUACACCACACACACAAAUCAAUUUUCAACAAAUUGCUCAGCCCCACUGCCUAUUCUUGAAGGCAUCCUCUCCUCCUCAGCUCCCUCACCAGCCGUGGAGACUAAAACACCACCCCUUUCAGCCUACAGCAGCCCCCACCCCUUUAAGACUAAGACUCUAAAACUCCAGGAGACCCCGAGGACCCCAAGAAGGACAGCACAACGUCCUACAUCCCGCACAGGACGUCUGACAGUUUGAGGGGCCUGCCCGGGCACGCGCACUCUUGCUCCUCAUCAGAGCUCUGAGGGAGGGAAUCCCUGGGGAAGGAAGCCUCCAAAAGGCACCCUUGGAGCUGCUCAGAAGCACACAUCCUCUUUGUCAGCCUUGAGAAAGGGGCAAAAAGGCUGUGGCAAGGGAUGCCUCAACAUUUGAUUCAGUGAUUCUCUCCGGCUCCUCUGACUCUACCCUCUGAGGAGCUGGCAGGGCACCUGAGGCAGGGAAGGCAGCCAAGGCUGAGCACAGCCACCAGGGGGCGGCCAGGAACAGCCACAAGGAAGGGUGGCCCUGAGGCAAAGACCCGAGGUGGUCACCUGCUUCAAAGGCCCCCAAACCAAGACUGCGUCCCCUGGGCUCUGGAUCCUUUGGCUGCACAGAAACGUUCUUCAAGGGACAUGAGAACUGAGGCCCCUUAAAGGGUUUCACUCACCCUUUAUUCUUUGCCCCAUUCUUGCUGCUGCCUGGAGAUGGGGGUCUUGGACUGUCAGUCUUGGGCCCCUGGGAUCUGAUGGAGUGAGCUCUCAAGGCCAUGGUCCCUGAAAGCCUGUGACUCUCGGCUAAGCCUCUCCAGGCGUGGCUGGGGAGCCACCCCAGGGGAAGACGUGUGAGGCAACUGGACCGACGGACAGAUUUUCCCUGCCCUUUUUCAGAGAUAUAAAGCUCUAAGACAGGGCUUAGCAAAUGUUCUGGAAAGAACCAGAAAGGAAGCAUUUCAGCUGUGUAGGCUAGGGGGUCUCUGUGGAAGCUACUCAGCCCUACAGUCCGAGUGCUAAAGCAGCCACAGAUAAGGUGUACAUAAAUGGGAGUGGCCACAUUCCAAUGAAACUUGAUUUACAAAAAUACAUGGCGGGCUGGAUUUGUCCUGUACAGCCUCUCCUCUCAAAGAGCAAGCGGCAUAAUAUUUUAAAAAGACACACACAAACACACACAUGCACAGAGAGAGAGAGAAAGGGAGAAAUUUUAAAUUAAAAAAAUAAAAUAAAAUAAAACUCAGGAGUUCCCUUGGUGGCUCAGUGGCUACCAAACCCAACUAGGAAUCAUGAGGACACGGGUUCAAUUCCUAGCCUCCCUCAGUGGGUUAAGGAUCUGGAGUUGCCAUGAGCUGUGGUGCAGAUCACAGAAGUGGCUUGGAUUGGCGUUGCUGUGGCUGUGGUGUAGACCAGCAUCUGUAGCUCCAAUUUGACCCCUAGCCUGGGAAUUUCCAUAGGCUGUGGAUAGGGUCCUAAAAAAAACCAAACCAAAACAAAAAACGCAAAAAACCCACUCAGAUUCAUAUAAUCAUCAAAGGAAAAAACUUCCACAAAGGACUUUGAGGCCCUAAGCCAUUCCCCUUCUUUUCUCUGACAGACAACCUUUUUCUUGGAAGGGUCACCUUUGUCCCAAUGUACCUUGCUCGGAAAUUAAGGUCUCACACUUAGAGUUAUUAAUCCACCUCCAAGAUGGGUGUAGGAAAGCAAACCACAUGAACACCUCCAAAGGGUGUCAGGCCAUAGGCAGGAUUUCUCCAGCAGCCCCUCUUAACACCAGCAGUGCACACACACUUACACUGCAUUCUGUUCCAGAUGCUUCCACAGCACCAGGGGCACGACAUAGAGACACAACUGACACACACACAAGACAACCCCACCCCACCCACCCCUAACAACACCAGGGCUGAGGGCAGAGGAAAGAGGAGGAAAUCCGCAGUUUGAUGGGCAGAGGGCAGCAUUUGCUUCAAAGCCCCACUUCCUGCAUAUGUGUAAGCGCCUCUGCCCCGCCUCUGCACAACAGCUCUCCUGUUAAUUCAUGAGGUCAUCUGUGUAAAAGCACUUCCUACAUGCUAGUUAUCGUCUCCAGAAGGAAGAAUACAGAGGCAAACUGUAAACACUAGGGCCACAUUGAGGCUACGGAUUCUCAAGGAAGGAAAAGGUUGGAAGCGCUGAUGACCAAAGACCUUCUUAUCCAGUGAUCUCAUGAGGGACAAAAUAGAUACUACAGGUCAGGUUAUGCCUACAUGCCUCUCCACUCUACAGUUUCUCUUGGUCUAAGUCUGCAUGAAAUCUGGAGAAGUGCAUGUAGCCAUUAUGGUCAAGUGUCUAAGCUGAUAGAAGGACAGAAUAGCUACUGCAGGGUGAGUUAUGCCUACAUGCCUCUCCACUCUACAGCUUCUCUUGGUCUAAGUCUGCAAGAAAUCUGGGGAAAUGCACAUGGCUGUUACUGUUACGUGACCGACCUGACAGAACAAGAAAAAUCUGUACACACACACACACACACACACACACACACACACACACACACACACAGGAAGGAAGAAGGACAGAGAAAGAAAGAAAAUGCAAUCAGUGAGAUAUCUGUAGGAAAAGGUUUGGUGAUACUAUUCCAGCCCAGGAAUCAAACACCAGAACCUUAUCCUGGUUCUGCCACUAACUGGCCCCAGGGUUGCUUUCCUGGGAGUGUCAUUACACCUGCCCUUCAACCCUAAUGGUGCAGUGGAGGAAACAAACUGCCAAAUGACUCCAAAGGGGCUCUGCAUCGUGAAAUCAUUACCCAGUCCUGCAAGGGGCCAAAUAUUAGGGAAGACUGUUAUGAUGACCAAAAACCUUACAUUACUGUCCAAAGUACAAACACACAUUCCUUGUCUCAGCAGUUCCUUCCACUGGAACAGAAUUUUUUCUCUUGAUGUAGUGCCCCAGACACCGAGGGAAAUGUACCCAAAGAUUUGUAUUAUAACCCCGUUUAACAGGGUGGCUUAAGAGCAAAAGGUGAGAAGCAACCCACAUGUCUCCACUAGGGCCCUGGUGGGAUCCAGUACCAGGUUGAUGGGUGGUGUUGGGGGUGGGGAACCUCAAAUAGGGUGGAGACAGGGUGACACUGCAUCCUUUUUAUAUAUAGAUUUCAAUAUAUAUACAUAUUUUUCAAGUUUCCUAACCAGGUAAUUUCACAAAAUGAAGUUUAAUCCCCUGGAGAGAGAAGAGGGGACAUUUUCAUGUACCUUUAAGCUCCAGAAGGUGGUAUCCACCCCAGCCCCAAGGUUUAGAAUUUGACAGUUGC
rnacentral:lncRNA from 1 species